ensembl:lncRNA
CUCAUGGCUACAAAACACGUACCAGCAGCAUAAGCGAUGUGUGUAGUGCACGAUGUGAUCAGGGCUGUAAUCUGAGUAAUAGCGGGAAGAAAAAGCCAAGUGCUGAGUGUGUUGAUUCAGGAAACACAGACUUCCACGCUCAGAGAAGGGAUGGCUGCUAGGGCUGCUGCUGCUGCUGCUCUGGAGAACCAACACCACGGCUUGGUCCAGUGCUGCUCAGGGCUGGAAAGCUGUUGAAGAAAACUGAGAAAAGUAGGAAGAGAUUUAAAAGAUAACAAUGUGAGAAAAGCCAUGGAUAUACGCAGAUGUCUGAAAAUACAUCCACUGUCUGAUAAACAAGGCUACAUAUAAUCAGGUAUAAGAGGGCUGUCAAAAAGCUGCAGAGUUACACCCCUGGAGGAGGGAGGAGUGUGGCUCUCCAUUGUUACCGGUCUACUUCAACUUCCCAGAUGAAAGAAACCCCUAGACAGGAAGAAGUCUAGCAUGCUCAGCAGAUUGAGUUCUCCUCUACUACUCUGGUUGAAGUGGAUAUAUUCCAUCUACUCGUAUUUAUUUCCUAUUGCAAAACCAGCACACUCCAUAUGGCAAUCUGAUGGACACAUUGGCCCAGCGCCUGCAUUUCAAAAAGGAUGCUGAAAACCAUUGAAAACCAUUCAGAAGGAAGAUAAUAGAAUGAUCUGAAGUAUAUGUUUGAGGUACUACAGAGAGGUAGAAUUUAGAAACUAAGAUUUGGCUAAUUCAGACUAACAAAAAGUAGAGCUUUUAAUCUUACAAGAUAAUUAACAUUUGUAUUGAUUUACUUGGGAAUGUGGUACAUGUUCAGGUAUCCAAAGCCAACAAAUCAGCAUUUGGUGUCUCACUAUGAGAUCUCUAACAGAUUAAAUAGAAUUUAAUACACUAAUUAGUGACUUUCAAUAAAAGGAACUCAAAAUGUAGCGCCGUGAAGCCCUUCUGGGUAUGAAUGUAUGAAUUUAUAUCAUUCUUUAAACUGUCUGAAAGCCAUGUUCAUACAGUGUCUAUUCCAAUAUUCAUACAAGAAGCCACAAUCUCAUUCUAUAUGGCCAGACAGGUGCCUAGCAGAGCUGGCGCCCAGCCUCCAGGCACAACUGCAAUAGAAAACAAGUAACAGAUGCUGAUGAUCAUUUCUGGGAUUUGUUUUCACCAGAAACUCAAGAAGUCCUAGAGGAGUUCCACUAAUUAAUAUUACUUAAAGUACAACAUUCAGCAUAGAGAGAAAAAUUCAUCUAAUACAGUAUUAUCAGCCACUUUUAUUUUAAAAAGGUCUUCUGCAGCAUCCCCAGCACAUUCUCACACUUCCCCCUGAGACUCCCAGGAAAUCAGAAGCCCAGAGAAUUCAUUGCAUCUCACAAUAUACAAUUUCAAAAUUCAACAAUUCAUUGCUUAAGGAACCAAAGUCCUAUAGCCAUGUUGUGGUAAUGCGUUCCACAAGUGUUCCAGGUCCAUAUGAGCACAAUGUAAGAUUGCCUAAGUUAUCUUUUUACGAUGGGUGAGAAGAGAGUAAGCUUUUGUACAACUAUUUCAGGGGUAAACAUGUGAGUAAAGCCAGACAAUGUGGUGGCUUUUGAAGACACCUGUGAGAACUGAGCAUCUCAAUUUUAUAUCACUUCUGCAGACUUACUACUUGGAAAAUCCCAGUUGUGUAUGCUGAAAAACUCAUAUUCUUCUGACUACUCACAGCAAUAAGAACACUUUGCAUUCUGUACAAUUCAUUCAUGAUCUUAUUUGCAUGGGAAGGUGUGAGGAAGUCUAACAGAGAAACUGUAUACUGUUGGAUGCAUGCAGCCCUCAAAAUACCACUGUUAUGUAUUCAAAUACUGAAAAUAUUUGACAUCUUUUCUGUCAUUUGACUGAGAGACUUAGCUCACUUAAAACAUUUGAGCAGAUAUUUUGUUUAUGUCAAGGAAGAUUAUGCCUUAAGAAGUAAAAAGUAUGAAGAACCAAUAAUCUGAAGGCUAUUUGUGAAACCUAGUCACAUUUAUGUUUAUGUUUUUUUCUCUGUCAAUUGAUAUGGGGAUGUUAUGCAGCAUUUCAAGACUGCAGAUAAUUGAAGGGAAAUAACCACAAUAAUGAAAUCACUGCUGGAUCAAGAUCUGAUAGGUGACAAAUCAAUUUAUUUAUGAUACUUUCUUUGUCAUACUGAACCAUUUUAUUGCUCAGUGGAAACCUC